ensembl:snoRNA
UGGCAUGUUAAACCAAGAGUUGUGGCUUAGCCGGUGGCCACAAGAUCUCCAACAACAUGCAAGAAUGAGAUGGGAAGGACUUUGGCUUUCCAGCUGUUGGUAGCUGAGGAUGUCACUCGACCUUUCUACAUUC